rnacentral:lncRNA from 1 species
GUUUAAUUCUUCUGUAAAGGGAAAGGAGCCCACAAGACAGCUCUUGAGGUUGAAAAUGGAUUGCUAGAGGCUAGCUUCUAUUCAGUUUCUUUCCUUUCUCCUUUCCCAGUCUCCAUUUCUCUCCCCUCUCCUUCUCUCCUUCCUUUCUAAGUUUGUAUGCAGAACCUGAUGGAUAGGGCAAUGUAUGUAAGACCAAGGCUGACUCCCCUGGGGGAAAGCCAGCAUGGCUAUAGCAGAGCUAUUCAAUGAUCAGGAAUAGAGAAGAAAUAAUGGGAAACUGGAGCUGGGGUCAGAUGGGGAGAGAGCAACUGUGCAGGAGCCAAACGUGGACAAGCCCACAAUACCGGGAUUACUGGGUGAGGCCCAGUGUUCCAUAGAACUGAAG